rnacentral:rRNA from 1 species
GCCGUGGCUUAUUCCUCAGGUACCGUCAUUAUCGUCCCUGAGAAAAGAGGUUUACAACCCAAGGCCUUCAUCCCUCACGCGGCGUUGCUGCUUCAGGGUUUCCCCCAUUGAGCAAAAUUCC